UAGGAGUUCAAAAAUAAGAUCUUGAUUCAUAGAGAAAUCUCAUGUAUCAAAUUUCGAGAAAUCAAGAUGAUGAUUCAUAUAAAAAAAUCACAAGUUAUAAUCAAUAAAAAUAUCAUCUUUUAUCUUCAAAUCAUUCAACUUGUUAAAUCAACAAAGUCACUUUUAAGAGAUUCAUAAAAAUGAUACAAAUAGAUUCAUCAAAAUCAAUAAGAUAGAGAAAAAAAA
rnacentral:lncRNA from 1 species